rnacentral:tRNA from 1 species
GGGGCCGUAGCUCAGUUGGGAGAGCGCCAGCUUUGCAAGCUGGAUGUCAGGGGUUCGAGUCCCCUCGGCUCCA